GAUAUGCUUUGGGGAGCUGUAAGUAAGCUUUGAUCCAGAGAUUUCCGAAUGGGGAAACCCAGCAUGAGUUAUGUCAUGUUAUCGAUAUGUGAAUACAUAGCAUAUCAGAAGGCACACCCGGAGAACUGAAACAUCUUAGUACCCGGAGGAAGAGAAAGAAAAUUCGAUUCCCUUAGUAGCGGCGAGCGAAACGGGAAGAGCCCAAACCAACAAGCUUGCUUGUUGGGGUUGUAGGACACUCUAUACGGAGUUACAAAGGACGACAUUAGACGAAUCAUCUGGAAAGAUGAAUCAAAGAAGGUAAUAAUCCUGUAGUCGAAAAUGUUGUCUCUCUUGAGUGGAUCCUGAGUACGACGGAG
rnacentral:rRNA from 1 species